UACGGAGGAUGCGAGCGUUAUCCGGAUUUAUUGGGUUUAAAGGGUGCGUAGGCGGACGCUUAAGUCAGCGGUAAAAUUGCGGGGCUCAACCUCGUCGAGCCGUUGAAACUGGGUGCCUUGAGUGGGCGAGAAGUACGCGGAAUGCGUGGUGUAGCGGUGAAAUGCAUAGAUAUCACGCAGAACUCCGAUUGCGAAGGCAGCGUACCGGCGCCCAACUGACGCUGAAGCACGAAGGCGCGGGUAUCGAACAGG
rnacentral:rRNA from 1 species